UUCAAAAAUGUGUUUCUCCUCUUGAAAUGAAGAAAACAUUUUAAGCUUGAAGAUUAGGCUUGAUGGAGCUUGCAGGGUGUAAGAAUGAAGAGAGAAAAGAACACGCAAACCUGAACAGAUUCCCAGAAGUCUCUCUGAGAAAUGCAGGAGUCAUAUGCCCAAUUGUAAAAUCAACAAUAUCAUUAAAUAUGCAGUAGGAUGAUAACACGUAGAAUGAGCCUGGCCAAAAACCACAAGCCCUGGAACAAGUUCAAACCAAAUACCGACAGGAAACCACCCACCCAGGCAUAGAGAGGUUAGAUGCUCCUGCGCAAAAUGCAAGUGUGUCCGAUGACUGACAGUCAACUCUUCUUGGAAAGAAGAGAAUAUCUGCUUUUCUUUUAACACCAAGUUCAUUCAGCUCAGCCCACGAGAGGGCAUGGGGACUGGCUGACAACAUGACUUGCUAAUCAGAAAUAUUCUCUGCCUUCCUUCUAAACCUAAGAGGACAAAGGCAUUUGUAAACCCUGCUAUGAAUUUGUCAUUGAAAAACAACACCUAUGAGAAUACCGGUUUUCCAAUUAGCAUCAGAACUGGAGGGAAAGCCACACAGAGAGCUAGGUAAGUAAGACUGGGAUAAAUCCUUCAAGGUAAGGGGUAUUUGCACCUAAACCUAGUUUGAGACUGUAAACCAAAUGCAAAUGCCAGUGGACAUCCCGGGGUUUCUGCCAGACAAGUUUAAAUAGGACCAGAGUCACACUGGGUCCUCUGAUAGCUAAUUCACGAAAGAUGUUCUCAUCAUUUGCAGUGGGGGAGGUAGUUUGCGUCAAGGUUCCUAACAAAACGGGUCUCUGCUCCACACCUUGCCAGUAUUCCUAGAAAACUUUUUCCUUCCCACCUGCAAAGCCAUAUCAGGCCACUUAGAGGAGUUCUUUAUUAACUUCACAAACAUGGGCAGAGUAGUCUCCACUCCAGACUUCUUCCACUGUAGGUACAUAUUCUCUUCCCCUGAAUGAUAGUCCAUCCUUCUCUCGUGUUUGUGCUGUGUGUCCGCUUCCUUCCCAAACAAUUAGGUGCUUACUAAUAACUAUAACAAUAGCUAGUCUACAUUAAGCUAACCUCUGUGCUAAGCAUCCUAUCUAUAUUAUUCCAUGUUUAUCUUCACCAUGACUUUCUGAGGUAGAUAUCAUCAUCUCUGUUUUCCGGGAAAGAAACAGAUUCAUUGACAUUAGCAACUUGCCGAAAGCCAUGAGAAGCAGAAGGGGCAAAGCUGGGAUUUGAACCCACGGACUCCCAUUUAUUUAAAGAAGAGACACAUCUACCUGCACAGGUGACAGUUGUGAGAUAACUUCCAUUAUAUUUCCUAGAUCGUUAAGCCUGUCAAUUGACUUUAUAUCUUGCUUUUAUACGCUAUCUCCAACUUGCAAUUAUUGUACCACUGCUAUUCAUUACUUGAGAUACUUGUGAAGCCGUAAAGUAACAAUAAUAAUACUGCAUCAUACUCUGCAAACAUUUGCCUCUGAGGUUUGUGUUAUUUCUGUUUAUGUAAGGUAGGGAAUUAUUGAGGAACCUGAAUUAGACCUGCAUUUUUGCCCUAACUGAAAUUCAUUGAGUACACGGACAUCAGUUUAAAAGUGUUAUGGCUUUGAGUGGACAAGACGAUGUGGAAAAAGGCUAGACACGUACGUCAUCCACUCAAGAUGGGCUGGCCACCAAGAGGGGUCUGCGCGGUAUACCCUCGUCCUGGUCCAAGUACCACGGUGCAGGGUCUGGCCUUUAGCUGUGUUGAUUUGGAAACCAGAAGAUAUAAACACAAUGCAAAUGGAUCUGCUUCUCAAAAUAGAUUUAGUUAGCCUUAGAGAAUAAGCUGUAAAAUCAAGAUGGAAACUUGUUAUUGUAUUUCCUAGAUGCUUAACUGCAUUUUUAAAAACACUUCAACAUUUUUGAAAUGAGUGGCAUACAUAUAAUCAGCAUCUUAGCACUGAGGAAAUAAUGGUAAUUAAAAUGUAAACCACAAGUCCCAAGAAGACUAGGAUCCUCUGGCCAGUUCAUUUUCUCCCAGAAAGCAAGGAAGACAGGAAGUAAACUUAUAAUCAGAUGGUUGCUUGGGAACAUGGAAUCCAAUCAGAAAGAGUUCUUUGAUAUAAAUAUUGAAAGAAAUCAGACUGAGCUAAUUUCAUGCAUCCAUCUCUGUGAUCAGAAUGUGGCCAUGGCAGAUUGGCUCUGAACAUCCCUUCACACCUCCUAGCAGACAUUUCUGCGCUGGUUACCAUUUCUGUUCUCCCCUCUAACUAUAAUUAGGGUUCUGGAGAUGAAGUAGGUUCCUUCAGGGAGAUAUAUUUGUGCGACAUUUGGGAGAGACAGGAGGCUUGAGGCCAUUUUUAUUUCAUGAUGGUUUGGGCUGCUUUCUGGGAAUAAACCACAGUGUUCCAGCAUCCAGUCUUCUGCUCUGAGAAUUAGUUGCCCUGGUGGCAGCUUUUUUGACCCUUGCAUCAUGGGUAUCAUGGUAUGUUCUCAAAUUUCAAAGUUUCAAUGGCAAUUUCUCAAUUUCUUCAUCCUCUUGACUGAGGCACAGUCAGUUCUUCAGAGUUCUUGGGGAAGAGGGUCCAUGGUUGGGAAGGGUUCCAUGACCGUGAGUCCAGUUUUCCUACACUGAACCCAGUGUGUACAGCGAUUUCUCGUGGACAGUCACAUUUCUUCUUUUGUGAUAGUUUAUCCAGCGACUAACAGUCAGUUUUGACAAUCUGGGAGCCAUUUGUCUCUUACGGGUAGCAGUGUACCUUUCUUCUCUGCCCUAUGAUGUACUGAUCCUAUCCUUUGGCCGUUGGAGGGCAAUGUUAUUUCCAAGUUUUGGGGAGAAGCUUCAUUUUUGCCUCUUUUACUAUCUACAGUUAAUGUAAUGGGAAGAUGUCUCAGCACAUGUUAUAGAUGUAGCAGCCACAAGAAAGUAACAGAGAGCAUCAUCAAGUGUGAAAGCACAUCACACGAUGACACUAUUGCAAGCCAUUUUGCAACUGUUAAGCUUUACACUCCUUUUCACUCUUCAGGGGAAAGUGAGUCAGGCCAGAGUCCUCUCUUGCUUUCUUUAAGCAUUUUCCCCCUGUGAAACAACUCCUUUUUUUUUUUCUCUCUCUCUCUUUGGCGGGACAGGUCCGCAGUAUAGAUAGAGUAGCUUAACAAUUUUAUUCAAGUCACAGCUGAUACAGGCCAAGACCAUGAGGAAUGACACCUGUGUAUUCAUAUGGCCAAGGACAAUUUAGUUUGGAAGACUUUAUAUUUUGCAUAGUCUCCUUUCAUCUUUCAAAGAACAAGAUAAUAUCAGAAAUGGUUUCCGAAUGAACAUUGUGAGAAGUGAGUCCUCCUCCCUUUCCUCCAAAACCACAAGAUUGAUCCAAAGUAAAACCAUUGUUGUGACUUCAUCUAGGAUUUGACACCAUCUGAUGUCCAUCAAGAAGUGAUAAUCUACUGACCAACUGGCCAUUUGCUUCUUGUCAAGUAUCGACAAUUAUUUCUAUCUUUUGAAAUCAGCUAAGACAUACUUGUGCCUAUGACACACCAGUCCCAUUCCUUUUUAUCUUCCAGUGAAGCUCCUUGUUUUAUCUACUCAUUAUAUUUAAUUAGGUUUAAAUUAACAAACCAAGGCUACAACUUUCUGUUCACCACGACAGGGAACUCUAGCUCACAUAGACAAAGGCAGGCUUUGUCGACUCUAAAACACUUUUUUUUCGUAAGGUAGUUGCUCAGAAAGGAGAAAGAGUGGGAAACAUUGAAAGUUCAAGACUAGGUCUGGCCCACUAGGCAUUUAGCUUUUUUUUUUUUUUUUAAUGGUUGGAAAAGAACCAAGGGCCUCUUUACAGAACAGAGAAGCGUGGGCUCAGUGAUAUUAUCUCUACAGGAUGUGUCCCCAAAUCCCAUUAAUGACUCAUUAUAAAUUCAUAUUCCAUCAGUACAUCUAAACUCUUGCUUUGUGCAAUAUCUUGGAAUGUUUAUUACUAGGCACACUUUGUGGUUACUGAGGUUCUAAAAUUCCCUCCUUAAAUUUCCAAGUGUUCUGGAAUUCACUGAACCAGACUGUUCCUAGUCUAUUUUAUUUUAUUUUAUUUUAUUUUAUUUGAGAGAGAGAGAAAGAGAGCGAAAGCAUGCAUGCAUGAGAUAGGAAGGAGAAGAGAGAGAUAGAGAAAGAGAGAGAAUCCCAAGCAGGCUCCAUGCUCAGCACAGAGCUGGAUGCAGGGCUCUAUCCCAUGACCCUGGGAUCAUGAAUUGAGCCAAAAUUAAGAGGUGGACACUCACCUGACUGACCCAACC